AGAAUUUGAGAAGUUAAAUGAGGCAUAAAUCUUGAAUUAGUAUUAAUAUGGAUUAUAGAUCUAAGACUUUCUAAUUCUUUAAAUUAGAGUUAUUUAUUUUAAUGUAAAAUUAAUAUAUAGUAUUGUGAAAUAAUUAUGUAGAUUAUAUUGACAAAGAUAGUGGUGAAAAAGGAGUUGUGAAGGGGAACUUGUUAUUCAAGACACAAGGAGCGAGUCCGGCCGAGAAAGCACCAGAGGUGUAACUAUGGUGUAUGAAACACCAUCUUUUACGUUGCCUCUCAUUUUGUAUUAUGCAAUGUAUCUUGUGCCAACCUAGGACAUUUCUUAUUUUGACAACAUGUAAACUCUAAUCCUUUUUAUUAAAUACAAUUAUAUGACCAAGAGGAUUAUGUUUGUCCCUCUUGAUUCA